UACGUAGGAGGCAAGCGUUGUCCGGAGUUACUGGGCGUAAAGCGCGCGCAGGCGGUCCUUUAAGUCUGAUGUGAAAGCCCACGGCUCAACCGUGGGGGGUCAUUGGAAACUGGGGGACUUGAGUGCAGAAGAGGAAAGCGGAAUUCCACGUGUAGCGGUGAAAUGCGUAGAGAUGUGGAGGAACACCAGUGGCGAAGGCGGCUCUCUGGUCUGUAACUGACGCUGAGGCGCGAAAGCGUGGGGAGCAAACAGG
rnacentral:rRNA from 1 species